GAUGAACGCUGGCGGCGUGCCUAAUACAUGCAAGUCGAGCGAACAGAUGAGAAGCUUGCUUCUCUGAUGUUAGCGGCGGACGGGUGAGUAACACGUGGGUAACCUACCUAUAAGACUGGGAUAACUCCGGGAAACCGGGGCUAAUACCGGAUAAUAUUUUGAACCGCAUGGUUCAACAGUGAAAGACGGUUUCGGCUGUCACUUAUAGAUGGACCCGCGCCGUAUUAGCUAGUUGGUAAGGUAACGGCUUACCAAGGCGACGAUACGUAGCCGACCUGAGAGGGUGAUCGGCCACACUGGCACUGAGACACGGUCCAGACUCCUACGGGAGGCAGCAGUAGGGAAUCUUCCGCAAUGGGCGAAAGCCUGACGGAGCAACGCCGCGUGAGUGAUGAAGGUCUUCGGAUCGUAAAACUCUGUUGUUAGGGAAGAACAAAUUUGUUAGUAACUGAACAAGUCUCGACGGUACCUAACCAGAAAGCCACGGCUAACUACGUGCCAGCCGCCGCCGUAA
rnacentral:rRNA from 1 species